UACGUAGGGUGCGAGCGUUAAUCGGAAUUACUGGGCGUAAAGCGUGCGCAGGCGGUUGGUUAAGUCUGAUGUGAAAGCCCCGGGCUCAACCUGGGAAUGGCAUUGGAAACUGGCUAGCUGGAGUGUGGCAGAGGGGGGUGGAAUUCCACGUGUAGCAGUGAAAUGCGUAGAGAUGCGGAGGAACACCGAUGGCGAAGGCAGCCCCCCUGGGCUGACACUGACGCUCAGGCACGAAAGCGUGGGGAGCAAACAGG
rnacentral:rRNA from 1 species